UUUUUCCUCUCUUAUACAACUUCUCAGAGUCCUUAGUGUGCUAAUCUGAAAUGUGUUCUACCAGUCAUUGAACUAAUAAAACCAGGAAGAGCAAGAGUGCUGAUGGCACAAUGCACCCACCUGCCUCCAGAUCCAUAUUUUCAACUGCCUUACCUGUGGAGGACCUUGAAACACAUGAAUCUCAACGUGGUACAGCACCUACAGCACCUAGCCCCUGUGCCCAACUGUCCCAAGAGGAGCCAAUCCUGAGAAGAAGUUGAGCCAAUCAUAUUUCUCAGUCAAGCAUUAGAAGAGACACAGAGACACCUGAGUUGGAUAAAAAUGGGCACUUGCCACUGAUAGGCAACCUUUGUAGAACACUUGCUACAUGCCAGGUACCUUAUAGAGAUGAUCUAAUAUAACUCUAGGAAGUAGGUACUGUUACUAUCCCUCUCUUUCACAUGUAAGCAAACUGAGGCUUAUAGACGUUAACUACCUUUGCCUUAGGUCAUAUAACUGUUACGUGAAAGAUACACGAUUGGAAUCCAGGCAAGUUGUGCUUGUAACCACUAAGCCAGGCUGGGCAGCAGAGGCACUUGUGUUGGGGAAGUAGAAACUCCAUACAGAUAACUGUAAUGAGGAAAAGAAGAGCCAGUUUCUAAGGCAAGUGUGGGAAUGGAGCAGACACUGGGAGAUCCUGAACCCUCCUAGGAGAGAAGUCAGGGCCCCAGUGCUCCACUGCAGUCUCAAUGAGGCAGAAAUGGAAUUAGAUUCCAUCCUUUUGAUAGUACAGAGAUAACAUAAGGAAAUGUUGCCAUCAAAUACCCUCUGCAUGAUUGGGUGUAUUUUUGAAGAUGAUGUUAGCUCCAGGAGUGACCAACUUUUGAAAAUGGGUUUGAACCCAGAUCUGCAGAACUCUGCAUCUAAAGGAUUUCAACAGAAGCCCCAACAUAGCUCUGUGUCUUCCUAAGAAAUCCCAAGACUUCAGGUGCUUCUGGAAUGCUAUCAGAGUGCCAUCUUCAGCAGAUGGCUUGAUACAACAUGAAAGAAAAGAAGGAAGGGGAAGAGAGGGGAGGAGGAAGGGAGGGGAGAAAUGGGGAAGGAAGAAAAGAAAGGAAGAAGGAAGGUAGGCAAGCACUAGAAGUACUUUGUUUCUCCUGAAUACAGAAUAUGAAAUGAAAACAAAAAGCCACACAACAGAAGCACAUUUCCAGUUCUCAGAGCCUUCUGCUGCAAAUUCCUAGGGAGUCCACGAGCUGCUGCUUGACAGUGGUGUCCAUCUCUUAAUUAGCAUUUUUGGAUCCACCACAAAUCAGCUGGAUGGCCAUUUCCUCACAAUUUAUAGUCGCCUGGAAAUGGCUUUCACAGCUGGGCCACAGAUCCCUCACCCAGGGAGCCUGUAAUCGAGCUGCUCGGCAGCCUUGUUCAGACGUAAUUAAUAUUUCUGGAACCGCUGCUCAGAGGCUUCUGUAACUGUGCUGCACCAGGGGCGAGCCAGUUGGAAGUGGAUUUACUGUUGGACGAUGGGUGACACAGCUGUGCAGGCCCCAGGCCAAGGUGACAAGAGAGCUCGGAGGCAGUCACCCUUCACUGCCUGUAAUGUGAGAGUGAUGGAGAAGGGAAUGAGCAAAAAGGAGAGUGAGACAUGGUCGUGGCUUCAACUCCUGGCUCUGAUGAUCAUGGUCUAAGGCUGCAGAGGGGACAAAGGUAAGAUGACCACUGGCAUUUUUGGCUGGCCUUCCCCUUUCCUCCCUGGCCAUAUGUACAUGUCAACUACCAGCCUUUCUCCUUGCAAGCUAGAGCUUCCAAAGCUAGCAGGGAAUAGUGUACAACUGGAAGGAAUUUGCAACAGAUUUUAUUUAACACCCUUGACUUAAAGUGAGACCGAAGGAGGCCCACAGAAGUUAACUGGCUGGUGCUGAGGUCGGUGAGUGGCUGCUUAAACAGACUGGAAGGAAGAAGAUCUCUCAAGUUUUAGUCUGUCCCUUCUUCUGCCACUACAAGCUUGAAGUGGGGGAGGAUAUGCAUGUAACUGAGCUUUGCAGUAACAUGGGCCUUAGUUGAUAUCCCUUCUGUAUCACCUGGGGUUGUGAGACCUUUGGGGCUGUGGGGAAGCUAACUCAUGAAUCAUCAGUUUCCUCAAGGAGAAAGACGCACACACACACACACACACACACACACUCCAAUACAUCCAUGAUAUGUAAGUGGUAGCUCUCAUAAUCAUUUGCUGUUAUUCUUAUGUGGUCAUUACUGUUACCUCCAAUUCUUGUGAGCUGUAUGAGCUUGGUUGAAUCACAGAAACUAUUUGAACUUCAGUUCCACAUCUACAAAAUCAAUACAAGAGAGGCCCCAUCUUCCAAAAGCUAUUGUGAAAAGUCUAUAGCUUACUCUAUGUGAUGCACUUGUAGCAGUGCCUGGCUUGCAGUGAGAUCUCACUAGAUAUCCGCUACUUUGCUAUCUUCCUUAAUAUCAUGUUCAUGGCAAAGUUCCCUAUAGCUCUGACCUUAUUAUUUGCAUAAUUAAAGGUAUUUCAAAGCCCCCUGACCUUCAGACUCAAGUCUCAAUUUCUUAACUGGACACUGUGGAUCCUCAAGACCUGUCUCUCGCAUCUCUGUGCAGCUAAUAAUUUGGCAACCCUUUGAGGGAUCUCACUUUGUCACUCACGUCCUGCCCUCUGGUCAGUCUCUGCUUCACCUUUCUUCUCUCUGCUUCACCUUUGUGCCUUAAAUACAUAGCUUUCUCUUUCUGAAAUUCCUUUCUUCUCCUUUCUUUUUCUUGUUCUUUUUUUUUUUUUUUUUUUUGGCAGGGGGAGAGAUAGGAUCUUGCUCUGUUGCCCAGGCUGGAAUGUGGAAUAAUGCAGUGGUAAGAUCAUAGGUCCCUGCAGUCUGAAACUCCUGGUCUCAAGCCACUCUCUUGCCUUGGCGCCCUGAGUAGCUGGGAGUAUAGGUGCACACCACCUCGUCUAGCUAAUUUUUUAUAUAUAACUUUUGGUAGAGAUGGGAUCUUGCUAUGUUGCCCAGCAUGGUCUUGAACUCCUGGCCUCAAGUGAUCCUCCUGCCUUCUUUCUUCAAAUAACAGUUACUUGCUUAUCAAGGCUUGGUUUACUUGUCACAGACUUCAGACUUUUGUAUGCUCCCACACCAUUUCCAGGCUAUGCCCCUAGGAUAUGGCUCUGUCAUACCACUUACAAGUCAAUGGAAACCCUGGCUUACCUGACUAUCACAUGCCUACAAUGGGCCCUUUGAAGACAUGAACUUGACAUUUAUCUUUGUUUCCCCAGUUCCUAACAUAUAUUAGGGCCCAAUGAAUGUAUGCAGUCUAAAUAACUCAAAUCUAAGAAUAAGAAGAAUAUACUGUAUGCAUUUAGCAUAAAGCCUCUCACAUUUUUAAAUACUUGACAAACAUUUGUUAAAUGAGUGAGUAAAGAAAUGAGUGAAUAAUCUGAAGAUUGUUAUAGUCUCUAUAACAAUGCAAUAUUCUCAUCUUUAUAGGAUUUCGAAUAAAA
rnacentral:lncRNA from 10 species